GGCUCUGUAUAUUUUAAGAGUAGUGGAGAGAAGGGAUUUGGUUUAGUAAUGCUGCC
ensembl:snoRNA